rnacentral:rRNA from 1 species
CCUACGGGCGGCAGCAGUGAGGAAUAUUGGUCAAUGGACGAGAGUCUGAACCAGUCAAGUAGCGUGAAGGAUGACUGCCCUAUGGGUUGUAAACUUCUUUUAUAUGGGAAUAAAAUGUUCCACGUGUGGGAUUUUGUAUGUACCAUAUGAAUAAGGAUCGGCUAACUCCGUGCCAGCAGCCGCGGUAAUACGGAGGAUCCGAGCGUUAUCCGGAUUUAUUGGGUUUAAAGGGAGCGUAGGUGGAUUGUUAAGUCAGUUGUGAAAGUUUGCGGCUCAACCGUAAAAUUGCAGUUGAAACUGGCAGUCUUGAGUACAGUAGAGGUGGGCGGAAUUCGUGGUGUAGCGGUGAAAUGCUUAGAUAUCACGAAGAACUCCGAUUGCGAAGGCAGUUCACUGGACUGCAACUGACACUGAGGCUCGAAAGUGUGGGUAUCAAACAGGAUUAGAUACCCUUGUAGUC